CCGUAGGUGAACCUGCGGAAGGAUCAUUACAUGCCGCGCUCUGCGCGGACUCUGGGGGCGGCUUGCUCCGCACCCAGGGCAUUUACCCUUUGUCUACGAAUACCCACCGUUUCCUCGGCAGGCCUGCCUGCCAACGGGGACCUCAUUCAAACCUUUUUGCAUUUAGAGGUCGUGUCUGAAUGGUAUCAAUCAUUUACAACUUUCAACAAUGGAUCUCUUGGCUCUGGCAUCGAUGAAGAACGCAGCGAAAUGCGAUAAGUAGUGUGAAUUGCAGAAUUCAGUGAAUCAUCGAAUCUUUGAACGCACAUUGCGCCCUUUGGUAUUCCAUUGGGCAUGCCUGUUCGAGCGUCAUUUCAAACCUCAAGCAUGGCUUGGUGUUGGGCGCCUGUCCCGCCGCUUCGCGCGCGGACUCGCCUCAAAGUCAUUGGCGGCCGGCGUUCUCGACAUUCCGCACGCAGCAGACUGCGCGAUGCGAACUCGGGGAGCCUGGCGUCCAAGAAGCUUUUUCUUCCAAGUUUGACCUCGGAUCAGGUAGGGAUACCCGCUGAACUUAAGCAUAUCAAUAAGCGGAGGAA
rnacentral:rRNA from 1 species